rnacentral:rRNA from 1 species
CAGGCCUAACACAUGCAAGUCGAGGGGUAACAUAGAAAAGCUUGCUUUUCUGAUGACGACCGGCGCACGGGUGCGUAACGCGUAUACAAUCUGCCUUAUACUGGGGUAUAGCCUUUAGAAAUGAAGAUUAAUCCCCCAUAGUCUCUACUUGUGGCAUCACAUAUAGAGUAAAGGUUACGGUAUAAGAUGAGUAUGCGUUCUAUUAGCUAGUAGGUAAGGUAAUGGCUUACCUAGGCAACGAUAGAUAGGGGCCCUGAGAGGGGGAUCCCCCACACUGGUACUGAGACACGGACCAGACUCCUACGGGAGGCAGCAGUGAGGAAUAUUGGACAAUGGAGGCAACUCUGAUCCAGCCAUGCCGCGUGCAGGAAGACUGCCCUAUGGGUUGUAAACUGCUUUUAUACAGGAAGAAACCACUCUACGUGUAGAGUUCUGACGGUACUGUAAGAAUAAGGAUCGGCUAACUCCGUGCCAGCAGCCGCGGUAAUACGGAGGAUCCAAGCGUUAUCCGGAAUCAUUGGGUUUAAAGGGUCCGUAGGUGGAUAAUUAAGUCAGAGGUGAAAUCUUGCAGCUCAACUGUAAAAUUGCCUUUGAUACUGGUUAUCUUGAGUUAUUAUGAAGUAGUUAGAAUAUGUAGUGUAGCGGUGAA